ACGGAGGGUGCAAGCGUUAAUCGGAUUUACUGGGCGUAAAGCGUGCGUAGGUGGUUUGUUAAGUCAGUUGUGAAAUCCCAGGGCUCAACCUUGGAAUUGCAUCUGAUACUGGCAGACUAGAGAUCGGUAGAGGUUAGUGGAAUUCCAGGUGUAGCGGUGAAAUGCGUAGAUAUCUGGAGGAACAUCGAUGGCGAAGGACCAACUGGCCUGGCUGAUACACUGAGGUACGAAAGCGUGGGGAGCAAACAGGAUUAGAUACCCCGGUAGUCC
rnacentral:rRNA from 1 species